UCUCUCUCUAACUUAGACUUUCGCUGAUCAUUCACCACUAUCUCUACAACACCGCAUCGGCAGCACCAUCGGGGUUUCUUUCCCUCUUACUGUCGCCUUCAAUCACUUGAAAAAUCCUUCUCUACACUUUGCCAUUUCAUAAUUCCUAACGUCACCACCAACAUACCGAUCGUUCCUAUUCCUAUCUGCCACCAACACCUUCGCCUCUGACAUGGUUGUAGAGUACUUGAGCCAAUUAAGGAACACUACCACGUCAUCUAUUAUGAUGAUUUCUAUCAGAAUUUACUGUAUGACUUGAUGUUCCCUUCAAUCCAGUUUACAGCAAACCCAAGUAGCAUCCAAUCAUUGUGUCGAGUUAUUGAUCUCCAAUGGAUGUUUCAGUGGAGAAAAUAGCCUUCUUUAUCAUCUUUUAUUAUAGUUAUUUCUACAUGAUUUUUUUGAUGGUUCACAAUUUUUUGGUUUUGGGAUAGCAAGGCUUAUGAGAGAUAAACAGAGAAAUGAGAUUGGGGGUCAUCUUUUCAAGACUAGAUGUCAUCUUUUCAAGAACACAAAACGAACAAAUUUACUAUUAAUGGUGUUUGACACACGUUGCAAUUAUAUUUUUUGCUCUUAGAAUAAUGGGUGCUCAUAAUGCAGGAAAAAUAACUUUCAUCAGAAUAAUCAUGAUAAGGUGGGUGGUUCAUUUUCAAAAUCGAUGGACACUAUUACGGAUAUGGAGAUCGUACUAAAGAGAUGAUGAUGGUUGACAAGUUUAUCAUGUAGCUCCAACUAGCAACUUUUCUCUUUACAUUCUCUUUUGGGACAAAACAACACUGUUUUGGGUUGCAAAUUAUGGAAAAAAUCUACAUGAACUUAUUGGCUUAGUUGGAUUGUGAGCUUGGGGAUGUUGGAUUUUUAGUAAAGAGUAUAAGGCAAUUGUGAAGGAAAUAUUGGUAGCUCCUUUCCCAGAUCUGCUUCACUUGCUUCAUUAUUCAUCAAACGAAUCAAUUAAUGACAAAAAAAAAGUUAAAUUAAAAUGCUAUUAAUGUAUGAAUAUGAGAUUUUUGGUCAUAGAAAAAUGUUACCUGAAGUGAGGAACAUAAUUGUUUUCAUAGUGAUUCACAUAACUUUGAAAGUUAAAGUUUUACUUAGAUAAUCAUUUUUCCUAAAGUUAUUGACAAUCACACAAUAUCAUAUACAACUGUAAGUUUACUUUUUCUUUUUAGUAAUACAUUUUUAAAACUCAUUUUAGAUCUA